rnacentral:rRNA from 1 species
GAUGAACGCUGGCGGCGUGCCUAAUACAUGCAAGUCGAGCGAACGGAUGAGAAGCUUGCUUCUCUGAUGUUAGCGGCGGACGGGUGAGUAACACGUGGAUAACCUACCUAUAAGACUGGGAUAACUUCGGGAAACCGGAGCUAAUACCGGAUAAUAUUUUGAACCGCAUGGUUCAAAAGUGAAAGACGGUCUUGCUGUCACUUAUAGAUGGAUCCGCGCUGCAUUAGCUAGUUGGUAAGGUAACGGCUUACCAAGGCAACGAUGCAUAGCCGACCUGAGAGGGUGAUCGGCCACACAGGAACUGAGACACGGUCCAGACUCCUACGGGAGGCAGCAGUAGGGAAUCAUCCGCAAUGGGCGAAAGCCUGACGGAGCAACGCCGCGUGAGUGACGAAGGUCGUCGGAUCGUAAAACUCUGUUAUUAGGGAAGAACAUAUGUGUAAGUAACUGUGCACAUCGUGACGGUACCUAAGCAGAAAGCCACGGCUAACUACGUG